rnacentral:rRNA from 1 species
GACGAACGCUGGCGGCGUGCCUAAUACAUGCAAGUAGAACGCUGAAGCGAGGAGCUUGCUCUUCUUGGAUGAGUUGCGAACGGGUGAGUAACGCGUAGGUAACCUGCCUUGUAGCGGGGGAUAACUAUUGGAAACGAUAGCUAAUACCGCAUAACAAUGGAUGACCCAUGUCAUUUAUUUGAAAGGGGCAAAUGCUCCACUACAAGAUGGACCUGCGUUGUAUUAGCUAGUAGGUGAGGUAACGGCUCACCUAGGCGACGAUACAUAGCCGACCUGAGAGGGUGAUCGGCCACACUGGGACUGAGACACGGCCCAGACUCCUACGGGAGGCAGCAGUAGGGAAUCUUCGGCAAUGGGGGCAACCCUGACCGAGCAACGCCGCGUGAGUGAAGAAGGUUUUCGGAUCGUAAAGCUCUGUUGUAAGUCAAGAACGAGUGUGAGAGUGGAAAGUUCACACUGUGACGGUAGCUUACCAGAAAGGGACGGCCAACUACGUG